AGAGUACCACAGUGGGUGGGGAAAUCGGCAGUUACUUCCUUUACCUGCCCUGAAUCUUUCAGGGAUGCUGGGGCUUUUUGUGUCCCCUGGGCUGCAGCUUCCAGAAAGGAACAGAAAGCUCUGCCCAGCCCAGCUAUGUGGACCCUAACUGUGUGUCCUGGCUUGCUCUUCCUGGCUGCUUCCUGAGGCUGCAUUUUAUUCUUUUCAUGUCAGCUUCCCCCAGGAGCACACGGGCUGCCCAUCCUUGGACCCCUGGCGCUGCCCCGUGGACGGUCCUCCAUCGCCCCGCUGCUUGGGAGAUGGGCCUGAACUGGAGACUGAAUCUAGGACUCUCACACAGGUAAAUUCAAUACGAUUAGUACCAGCAUAAUUUCGACUGACUUCUAUGAAGAAGAUUUCACAGUCACCUGAAGCCACAGCCUGGAACUGUCAUUAUGGAAAGCCUCCAAAAGGAGCUUGGAAAAUCUUGGGAGGAUUUCUUAAAUCUUAUGAAAAAAGAGAAGAAGUAAAGUAAAAGGAGAUUUCUCUUCACAAAGAACCUGAAAAUGUAGCAUUGCAAGCGAAGGCAUGCUUAAUCUAUUGACAUUUAAACUCAUAGUACUCAGGUUUCUUUUCCAUUGUUCAUUUAAAAUCAUUAUUCACUUCAUUUCCACAGCACUUAAAAAAAUGCUGCAUUUUCUUGAGCCACAAAAACAGAUGAAAAUUGAGAUGCAAGGGUUCAGUAUUUUAAAAGUAUUUGUAAAAUUGUUUUUUUAAAAGAUCACAUGUUAAUAAGCAAUAAAGCUGAUACAUCAAGAAAAGCUAGAGUAAGGUAUGGUGUAGUUUAUUUGGCUCUGUUUCUAUCAAUAUGAAUCCUGAAAAAUCUCUCAUUAUGUCUUCUCUUUGCAAUGUAUUUCUUAGAUGAUUGAAAACGGAUAAACAUAUUGAUGAAAAA